GACCGAAUCUCCACGCUGUGCCAAGCACGUCGCUUUUGCCCUAAAGCUGUUCGGUCUGUUGGGGUAGGGGUAGAUUAUGCUUUGACUUCAGAAACGUGUGGUUAAGAAAAAAGUUGAAGGUGCGCAGAGUUGAAGAUGUUCCGUUUUCGAGGUGUUGGUAGAGUUGGGUGUAAUGAUGUUCCCCUCCCCCGAGGAGGCGGUAAAGAACUGGACCCAGACCCUGGUGGAGAAAUUACCUCCGACCAGGGGGGACCCACGGCUCACCCGGAAUGGGUUCCAGAAGGAAAAUGGGGAAGAGCUGCGGGGGGAGCCAGUGCGCGGGGAGCCAGUCAUUCUCGCCUGAGAGCUGCAGGAGGGGUGGACUUAAUCGUUACGAAUACCAUCUGGAUCCUGCGUAAGGCAGGUGUUACAAUUUUCUACGCGAGAAGUUUGCUCAGAGACACUGUCAUCUGGUCCCUGCGUCACGUGGUAUGCGAGUCUGUGGGUACCCGGCUCAGCACGGAAACCCUCCGAAUCCCACACCUUUUAAGAGGUCCCGUCCCGGGCGCGACUUUCGGGACUACACGCCCCAGGAUGCACCCGGGCCGGAGCAGGAAGCGGCUUCCCGGAGUCGGCUCUCCAUUGGGGGCGGCGGCCGGGGGCCGGCCGGAAGUCCCGCCCCCGCCCUGGACCUCCUUCCGCUGGGCUGGCGUCCUUCCGCGAGCCGGGUGAUGCGCGCGGACCAGGCCUCCUCUUGGUACCGGCGGAUGUCCGGGCUCUACGCGGUGGGAGCCUGGACCACGUUGGGCUCCUUGAUUUAUUUAGGCCGGAAGAAGAGCAAGCCCCCAGGUGAUGAAGUAGAGCAAAAGGAUGUGUCAAGAAAUGAAAUGCUUGAGCCCCCAAAAGGGUUUUACAUGGAAACAAUUGUGACGUAUAAAGAAGAUUUUGUUCCAGUCACUGACAGGAUCCUCAACUUCUUAAAAUCAUGGACAGGUGGCUCCGGACCAGAAUCAUGAUUAACUGCUGAAUGCUGAGGAUGCCUGGGUGGCUCAGCAGUUUAGCGCCUGCCUUCAGCCCAGGGCGUGAUCCUGGACACCCAGGAUCAAGUCCAACAUCGGGCUCCCUGCAUGGAGCCUGCUCUCCCUCUGCCUGUGUCUCUGCCUCUCCCUCUC